AUCUGGAGGAUGAACAUCACUCUACAAACAAGGAUUACUUUGGGGCCAGACUCGCUCUGUUUGUUCCAGACCACGACUCUGGCUGUGGAGAGCUGAUGGAGGAGCCAAGACUCUGGAGGAAGACAUCGCUCCACCAACCAGGAUCCUCACCAGGAAUCUGGAGGACUGAUGGAGAAGCCGUAUAUCUGGAAGGAAAAUCCUGAGGAUCACCAGCACUCUACCAUCAAGGAUUCCUCAUAAGUUUGCAUUAUCUGGACAUGGUGGACUAGACGCACCUGAGCUGAACCUCACCUGAUCCUGUUUGGUCGAGGGUAGACACACC